rnacentral:tRNA from 1 species
AGAGUGAUGGCAGAUGGUAAAGUGCUAGAAUUGAGAUCUGGUUUUGUAAAGGUUUUACACCUUUUCACACCA